UUUAACUGAAGAGUUUGAUCAUGGCUCAGAUUGAACGCUGGCGGCAGGCUUAACACAUGCAAGUCGAGCGGGGGAAGGUAGCUUGCUACUGGACCUAGCGGCGGACGGGUGAGUAAUGCUUAGGAAUCUGCCUAUUAGUGGGGGACAACAUCUCGAAAGGGAUGCUAAUACCGCAUACGUCCUACGGGAGAAAGCAGGGGAUCUUCGGACCUUGCGCUAAUAGAUGAGCCUAAGUCGGAUUAGCUAGUUGGUGGGGUAAAGGCCUACCAAGGCGACGAUCUGUAGCGGGUCUGAGAGGAUGAUCCGCCACACUGGGACUGAGACACGGCCCAGACUCCUACGGGAGGCAGCAGUGGGGAAUAUUGGACAAUGGGGGGAACCCUGAUCCAGCCAUGCCGCGUGUGUGAAGAAGGCCUUAUGGUUGUAAAGCACUUUAAGCGAGGAGGAGGCUACUU
rnacentral:rRNA from 1 species